GUCCUCGUAGUUCAACUGGAUAGAACAUAUGCCUCCGGAGCAUAAGGUUGUAGGUUCAAAUCCUGCCGGGGACACCA
rnacentral:tRNA from 1 species